UUCUGCUUUACAAGAUAGGCUGGGACUGGUGACUCUGCUGUGGGUUUCCAGGUUUGCAAAAUUUGACCUCUACUGGAACUUCUAGCUCUCCUGUGUGCAGAUGAACCUUUCUUUCUAGUUCUGAUCCAGCAGACUGCCACCUCAAUUCUGCACCCAUAAGCCUACCUUAUGCACCCUUUGUAGAAUCACACAUACAUUUUUUUGAGUUUGUUCAUUUAGAGAACUCAAGCUUCUCUAAGGCAGAAGAAGCAUUGUGGAAGAGUCUGCCAGAGGAAGACUACUCAUGUCUUGGCAGCCAGAAAAGUGUUCAAGCCUGGAAGUUCAAGUUCAAGUUGCCAGCAUAUUUUUGUUUUGAUAUUCCCUGGUUAUUUAGAGACAUCUGCACAGCAAUCAGA